ACUCUUGUUGCCCAGGCUGGAGUGCAAUGGUGCAAUCUCAGUUCACUGCAAUCUCUGCAUCCUGGGUUCAAACAAUUUUCCUGCCUCAGUCCCCCAGUAGCUGAGAUUAUAGGCGCUCACCACCAUGCCCAGCUAAUUUUUUGUAUUUUUGGCAGAGAUGGGGUUUUGCUUUUAAGGAGAUUGUUCAUUAAGUAUUAAUUGGUGGCCUGCCGUUGAACUAAUGUUAGUGUAGUACUGACAUCAUCAGCCACGGCAGAAACUUACUUGGCACCCCUGGAAAAGAGGGCAGGGAAGCAUAGUGCCCUGAAACCACCUCAUUCUCCAGUGCUACUUCCAACUCUGAGCUGAUGGUCAUUAUGAGUGGAUCUGCCCUGAACAAGUAGUUUAGUGCAGCUGCCUUGGACAGGCAGGUUAAAAGUAACAAACAUACAAAACUCAGCUAAUAAAAUGUGAGGACAGACAUGGGGCGCCAGGAAGGGGUGAGGCCUGUCUCCCUGUGUACCAUCUGUGUGGAGCCUCAGUACCUAGGACACAGCAUUUACGCAGAGGCCCAGGUUUUUAUUAGCAUUUCCCUGAAUAAAAUGUCACUUGUGAGCUGCGGACUGGGAAGCUUUUUCUGAUGAUUAGGUUUUGUAAUGUGGGAUCAUCAGUAGGCAAGGUGGAUCUGAGGGCUGUAAGAUCUGGAGACUGUCCAGGGCGGCUUUCUGGGGAUGACAGGCUUGUCUCGUCAGCAGUCAAGACACCAAAGAGAGUCUUUCUGAGAAUAAAAGAAAGAAGCUUUUAAGGAAAAAAGCAGUUUCUCUCUCUGUUUGGGAGUUGAGUGCAUUUUCCUACAUUUAUUCGGAGAUGUUCCUUGGUUCCCACCAUGUGCUAUUGCCCCGCUAUUGGGUAGGGUCACCCCACCGCGUACCUAACCUAGGAAAACUCCUCUGCAGUGAUUUCAGAGGCUGUGUGCAUUUCUCUUGCCUCAAUGGGUGGAGUGAGUUUUCUUCCUACUUUUUAGUCAGUUUUCUUAAUCUAGCGUGCAUCUUUAUGUGAGAGCAGUCCACCUGUAACCAGUUUGUUCCUGGAGGUGCUGCAGUGACCUUGGUUACGCGUGGGCCCCGUGGCUCAGGAUGGGCUGAGGAAGGAGUGUGUGUGUGAGCAGUGGGCACUGGCCAGAGGCAGGGGAAGUGUGGCCACUUGUGGCUUAAACUCCCCCCAUGCGGCUCUACUGCACGCUGGGACGUGAACACUCUCGCCCUGGACGUUUUCUCUGAAUGCUCAGUGCCCAGGCUCUUGGGUACACAGGCGGCCCGGGGGUUUAUUUGAAAAGGUGUCAUGAACAGUGAAGUAACCCACGUGCCUAAGCUUUGAUUGACAUGAAGGAACGUAGAGGCUGCUGAAAUCCUGGUCAUUUUAGAACAAAGUAUUUUAUUAACAGUUUUCUAAAAGAAAGAAAUCGUUAAAAAAUUGAUCCCUGUUGAGGUAGAAGGAUCUCGUCCUCAUGCUUCUCAGUUCUUUCCAGAAUCAGCUUCCAGUUCAGCUGCACAACAGGUUCUGCUGGUGGCUGGAGCAGCCCAGGCAGGUGCUGUUGGGUCUGAGUUCACACUGGUGCCCGUGUGGUCUCC
ensembl:lncRNA